rnacentral:rRNA from 1 species
UGAGGAGCGAAAAGCAUGGGGAGCGAACAGGAUUAGAUACCCUGGUAGUCCAUGCCGUAAACGUUGGGAACUAGGUGUGGGGUCCAUUCCACGGAUUCCGUGCCGUAGCUAACGCAUUAAGUUCCCCGCCUGGGGAGUACGGCCGCAAGGCUAAAACUCAAAGGAAUUGACGGGGGCCCGCACAAGCGGCGGAGCAUGCGGAUUAAUUCGAUGCAACGCGAAGAACCUUACCAAGGCUUGACAUACACUGGAAACGGCUAGAGAUAGUCGCCUCUUCGGACUGGUGUACAGGUGGUGCAUGGUUGUCGUCAGCUCGUGUCGUGAGAUGUUGGGUUAAGUCCCGCAACGAGCGCAACCCUCGUUCUAUGUUGCCAGCACGUGAUGGUGGGAACUCAUGGAAGACUGCCGGGGUCAACUCGGAGGAAGGUGGGGAUGACGUCAAAUCAUCAUGCCCUUUAUGUCUUGGGCUUCACGCAUGCUACAAUGGCCGGUACAGAGGGUGGCGAUACCGUGAGGUGGAGCGAAUCCCAGAAAGCCGGUCUCAGUUCGGAUCGUAGUCUGCAACUCGACUACGUGAAGUCGGAGUCGCUAGUAAUCGCAGAUCAGCAACGCUGCGGUGAAUACGUUCCCGGGCCUUGUACACACCGCCCGUCAAGUCACGAAAGUCGGUAACACCCGAAGCCGGUGGCCUAACCCU